rnacentral:rRNA from 1 species
UUUAUAUGAGAGUUUGAUCCUGGCUCAGGAUGAACGCCGGCGGUGUGCCUAAUACAUGCAAGUCGUACGCACUGGCCCAACUGAUUGAUGGUGCUUGCACCUGAUUGAUGAUGGAUCACCAGUGAGUGGCGAACGGGUGAGUAACACGUAGGUAACCUGCCCCGGAGCGGGGGAUAACAUUUGGAAACAGAUGCUAAUACCGCAUAACAACAAAAGCCACAUGGCUUUUGUUUGAAAGAUGGCUUUGGCUA